GGGGGAUAUUGCGCAAUGGGGGCAACCCUGACGCAGCAACGCCGCGUGAAGGAUGAAGGUUUUCGGAUUGUAAACUUCUUUUAUUAAGGACGAAAAAUGACGGUACUUAAUGAAUAAGCUCCGGCUAACUACGUGCCAGCAGCCGCGGUAAUACGUAGGGAGCAAGCGUUGUCCGGAUUUACUGGGUGUAAAGGGCGCGUAGGCGGCUUUGCAAGUCAGAUGUGAAAUCUAUGGGCUCAACCCAUAAACUGCAUUUGAAACUGUAGAGCUUGAGUGAAGUAGAGGCAGGCGGAAUUCCCCGUGUAGCGGUGAAAUGCGUAGAGAUGGGGAGGAACACCAGUGGCGAAGGCGGCCUGCUGGGCUUUAACUGACGCUGAGGCACGAAAGCGUGGGUAGCAAACAGGAUUAGAUACCCUGGUAGUCCACGCUGUAAACGAUGAUUACUAGGUGUGGGGGGUCUGACCCCUUCCGUGCCGGAGUUAACACAAUAAGUAAUCCACCUGGGGAGUACGGCCGCAAGGUUGAAACUCAAAGGAAUUGACGGGGGCCCGCACAAGCAGUGGAGUAUGUGGUUUAAUUCGAAGCAACGCGAAGAACCUUACCAGGUCUUGACAUCCAACUAACGAAGUAGAGAUACAUUAGGUGCCCUUCGGGGAAAGUUGAGACAGGUGGUGCAUGGUUGUCGUCAGCUCGUGUCGUGAGAUGUUGGGUUAAGUCCCGCAACGAGCGCAACCCUUGCUAUUAGUUGCUACGCAAGAGCACUCUAAUAGGACUGCCGUUGACAAAACGGAGGAAGGUGGGGACGACGUCAAAUCAUCAUGCCCCUUAUGACCUGGGCUACACACGUACUACAAUGGAUGUUAACAGAGGGAAGCAAGACAGCGAUGUGGAGCAAACCCCUAAAAACAUUCUCAGUUCAGAUUGCAGGCUGCAACCCGCCUGCAUGAAGAUGGAAUUGCUAGUAAUCGCGGAUCAGCAUGCCGCGGUGAAUACGUUCCCG
rnacentral:rRNA from 1 species